rnacentral:rRNA from 1 species
ACGAACGCUGGCGGCACGCUUAACACAUGCAAGUCGAACGGAGAAUUUUGGUUUACUAAGGAUCUUAGUGGCGGACGGGUGAGUAACACGUGAGUAACCUGCCUCUGAGAGAGGGAUAGCUUCUGGAAACGGAUGGUAAUACCUCAUAACAUAACUGAAAGGCAUCUUUUAGUUAUCAAAGAUUUAUCGCUCAGAGAUGGACUCGCGUCUGAUUAGGUAGUUGGUGAGGUAACGGCUCACCAAGCCGACGAUCAGUAGCCGGACUGAGAGGUUGAACGGCCACAUUGGGACUGAGACACGGCCCAGACUCCUACGGGAGGCAGCAGUGGGGAAUAUUGCACAAUGGGGGGAACCCUGAAUGCAGCGAUGCCGCGUGGAGGAAGAAGGUUUUCGGAUUGUAAACUCCUGUCUUAAAGGACGAUAAUGACGGUACUUUAGGAGGAAGCUCCGGCUAACUACGUGCCAGCCGCAGC